rnacentral:snRNA from 1 species
UGUGCUUGAUUCAGGACUGUGUACUAAAAAUGGAACGAUAUAGAGGUUAGUAUGGCCCUGCAUAAGGAUGACAUGUAAAUUUGACAGACAUCUAAGUAGAGG